AAUCAACGCUGGCGGCGUGCCUCAGACAUGCAAGUCGAACGUGAAAGUUUCCUUCGGGGAGCGAGUAGAGUGGCGCACGGGUGAGUAACACGUAGGUGAUUUACCUUUGGGUGGAUAAUAACAGUCGGAAACGAUUGCUAAUACUGCAUAAUGCAGCGGCUCGACAUCGAGACAGUUGUUAAAGUAGGGUUGAAAGACCUUAUGCCUAAAGAAAAGCCUGCGGCAGAUAGCUAGAUGGUAAGGUAAUAGGCUUACCAUGGCGACGAUCUGUAGCCGGCCUGAGAGGGCGGUCGGCCACACUGACACUGAAUAACGGGUCAGACUCCUACGGAGGCAGCAGUCGGGAAUUUUGGGCAAUGAGCGAAAGCUUGACCCAGCAACGCCGCCGUGAAGGAUGAAGUUCUUCGGGAUGUAAACUUCAGAAGGAUAGGAAGAAUAAGCUUAAUUAAAUAUUAAGUGAUGACGGUACUA
rnacentral:rRNA from 1 species